AUUGAACGCUGGCGGCAUGCCUUACACAUGCAAGUCGAACGGCAGCGGGGACUUCGGUCCGCCGGCGAGUGGCGAACGGGUGAGUAAUGUAUCGGAACGUACCAUUGAGUGGGGGAUAACGUAGCGAAAGUUACGCUAAUACCGCAUAUUCUCUCCGGAGGAGAGCAGGGGACCGCAAGGCCUUGCGCUCUUUGAGCGGCCGAUAUCAGAUUAGCUAGUUGGUGGGGUAAAAGCUCACCAAGGCGACGAUCUGUAGCGGGUCUGAGAGGAUGAUCCGCCACACUGGAACUGAGACACGGUCCAGACUCCUACGGGAGGCAGCAGUGGGGAAUUUUGGACAAUGGGGGCAACCCUGAUCCAGCCAUGCCGCGUGAGUGAAGAAGGCCUUCGGGUUGUAAAGCUCUUUCGGCCGGGAAAAAAUCGCAUGGGUUAAUACCCUGUGUGGAUGAUGGUACCGGAAUAAGAAGCACCGGCUAACUACGUGCCAGCAGCCGCCGCAG
rnacentral:rRNA from 1 species